rfam:Myotis brandtii contig136608, whole genome shotgun sequence.
GGUGGUUCUCAGAUGAUGCACCCGGAAUCAGGUUCCCUCCUCUCUGACUCUGGGGGUGUCAACUGAGAACCACA